AGUGAACGCUGGCGGUAGGCCUAACACAUGCAAGUCGAACGGCAGCACAGUAAGAGCUUGCUCUUACGGGUGGCGAGUGGCGGACGGGUGAGGAAUACAUCGGAAUCUACUUUUUCGUGGGGGAUAACGUAGGGAAACUUACGCUAAUACCGCAUACAACCUACGGGUGAAAGCAGGGGAUCUUCGGACCUUGCGCGAUUGAAUGAGCCGAUGUCGGAUUAGCUAGUUGGCGGGGUAAAGGCCCACCAAGGCGACGAUCCGUAGCUGGUCUGAGAGGAGGAUCAGCCACACUGGAGCUGAGACACGGUCCAGACUCCUACGGGCGGCAGCAGUGGGGAAUAUUGGCCAAUGGGCGCAAGCCUGCUCCAGCCAUACCGCGUGGGUGAAGAAGGCCUUCGGGUUGUAAAGCCCUUUUGUUGGGAAAGAACAGCAGCAGGUUAAUACCCCGCUGUUCUGACGGUACCCAAAGAAUAAGCACCGGCUAACUUCGUG
rnacentral:rRNA from 1 species